CCUACGGGAGGCUGCAGUAGGGAAUCUUUCACAAUGGGCGAAAGCCUGAUGGAGCAACGCCGCGUGCAGGAUGAAGGCCUUCGGGUUGUAAACUGCUUUUAUAAGCGAGAAAUAUGAUGGUUACUUAUGAAUAAGGAUCGGCUAACUACGUGCCAGCAGCCGCGGUCAUACGUAGGAUCCGAGCAUUAUCCGGAGUGACUGUGUGUAAAGAGUUGCGUAGGUGGCAUAAUAAGUAGCUAGUGAAAUCUGGUGGCUCAACCAUUCAGACUAUUAGCUAAACUGUUAAGCUCGAGACAGUUAGGGGUAACUGGAAUUUCUAGUGUAGGAGUGAAAUCCGUAGAUAUUAGGAGGAACACCAAUAGCGUAGGCAGGUUGCUGGGACGGUUCUGACACUAAGGCACGAAAGCGUAGGGAGCAAACGGGAUUAGAUACCCGUGUAGUC
rnacentral:rRNA from 1 species